rnacentral:rRNA from 1 species
UACGAAGGGUGCAAGCGUUACUCGGAAUUACUGGGCGUAAAGCGUGCGUAGGUGGUGAGUUAAGUCUGUCGUGAAAGCCCCGGGCUCAAUCUGGGAAUGGCGAUGGAUACUGGCUCGCUAGAGUGCGGUAGAGGAGAGUGGAAUUCCCGGUGUAGCAGUGAAAUGCGUAGAGAUCGGGAGGAACAUCAGUUGCGAAGGCGGCUCUCUGGACCAGCACUGACACUGAGGCACGAAAGCGUGGGGAGCAAACAGG